rnacentral:rRNA from 1 species
UGGGGAAUAUUGGACAAUGGGCGAAAGCCUGAUCCAGCCAUGCCGCGUGUGUGAAGAAGGUCUUCGGAUUGUACAGCACUUUAAGUUGGGAGGAAGGGCAGUAAGCGAAUACCUUGCUGUUUUGACGUUACCGACAGAAUAAGCACCGGCUAACUCUGUGCCAGCAGCCGCGGUAAUACAGAGGGUGCAAGCGUUAAUCGGAAUUACUGGGCGUAAAGCGCGCGUAGGUGGUUCGUUAAGUUGAAUGUGAAAGCCCCGGGCUCAACCUGGGGACUGCAUCCAAAACUGACGAGCUAAAGUAGGGCAGAGGGUGGUGGAAGUUCCUGUGUAGCGGAGGAAUGCGUAGAUAUAGGAAGGAACACCAGUGGCGAAGGCAACCACCUGGGCUCAUACUGACACAGAGAUGCGAAAGCGUGGGGAGCAAACAGG